GAUCCUGGCUCAGGAUGAACGCUGGCGGCGUGCUUAACACAUUCAAGUCGAACGGAGUCUUUUUGGAAGCUUGCUUCCGGGAAGACUUAGUGGCGGACGGGUGAGUAAUGCAUGAGCAACCUGCCUUCAGGAGGGGGAUAACAUCGGGAAACCGGUGCUAAUACCGCAUAGAGCAUUUUGCAGGCAUCUGCGAGAUGGUAAAGGAGCAAUCCGCCUGGAGAUGGGCUCAUGU
rnacentral:rRNA from 1 species